UACAAGUGACAAUUGAGUUUCUUUAUUGUUGCUAGCAUCCAUGGAGCAGGGCCACUCAAGAGAAACAAGGUGGAAAAGUUAAAGAAGGUGGGCUCCAACUCUUUGCUCCUAACAUGCGUGGAGACAAAAAGCUAAACGUAAGGUAACUAGGAAAAGUCAAGAACUCAAGCUAAAUUAUCCUGCCAUGCGUAAGAGAAGUCAAGAGCAAAAGCUCAAGGAAAAGUCAACAAUCUCAAGCUAAGCUACAGACGGAAAACUAAAAACUAAGCUAGCUAGUGAACUUCCUCCUCCUUGUUCCUUUUUAAUUGCGGCGCACAUCAACAGGAAGAGAAGCCCUCCGUCCGUCAUUCCUUUGCAAAAAUUACCAAAAUGGGCAUGACAUCUUCUGUUCCAAAAGUGCCCCUGGGACAAGCUUUAUCAUCUGAAUUUUUUUCCUGUCAAUUUGGCACCUGUUAUCAUAUUUUCAUUCUACUCCCUGAAAUAUACGUAAAUUACGAAAAAUGAGUAGAAUCCAGCAAUUAAUCCACAUCAAGUCAGGUAAUAGGGGGAAAUAAUAAUAAAAUAAAUAGAUAAAUUGCAGUCUAUCACAGUUGAUAAAAGAGAAGGCAAAGACAAAGUCUAAGGCACCCUUUUACCCUCGCCUAAACUAGUUGCGUGAUUUAGUCAUAAUUUCCUUAAUUUCUAACCAAAAGAUGUAUUGCAUUUGGAUGUAACUAACAUGGAUGCAAUCCUAAAUCUAAUGAUGAAUCUAGUGGGACAAAUAUCUCUUAGAGGCUCGAUUGGACUAAAUCACAUGAGUUGUGAUAGCCAAGGAUAAGCCCUCCAAGAUGGUCACGAAUAAUGCUAAUGACGUAAGAAUGAAUAGAAUGAAUGUAUGCAAUGUGAAAACAUAAGCUUGUGUUAAGUGGAAAAAAGUAAUAAAAGACAAUAGUGUGUAAGUGGGAAUGUGCAAAUGGGUACUAUGUAGAAAGUGAGAGUGUGUGAAGUCAUAGUGGGUAAAAUGGUGGUGUGUAAAGCGAUAAUAUAUAAAGUGGUGGUGUGUGAAGUGAUAGUGGUAAAAAGUAGUAGUGUAAAAAGUGAUAAUAUAUAAAGUGGUGGUGUGUGAAGUGUAGAGUGAGGGUGAUAAUAUGUGAAGUGUAAGUGCAAAGUGAUAAGGGGUAAAAUGAUAGUGUGAAGAGUGUGCAAAUAGUAAGGUGCUUCGGAAAUGCAUGAGCCUUAGGGAGAUGUAAGCAAGACGAGUAUGGGGAGAUCCUAAAUCGUGACUUUUAAUUUGUCUUUUGGUUAGAAGGAAGAACUAGCGUGCUAAACCUAUGUGUAAUCAUACUCGCUCGUUUCCCUUACCAGAAGGGUGACUCCCUAACCUAUGCAAGCAAAUGAAUUAGUCUAAAAUGAAAAUGCAGCCCUAAAUGUGUAGGGGAAAGAUUAGGGGAGCAUGCAAAAUGAGAAAUACUAAAAGGAAAAAUGAAUGAAAUGUAGUGAAGGCAUGCAGAUAUGACACUAGCGGAAAAAAGGUCUAGCGUUGGACUAGCCUUUUACUAACGUUCAUUUACAAGCAUUGGACUUGUAAGAUCUCGAGGGGAAGACCAUGACUAGCAUUAGACUAGCCACGGUGACGUGCAUUCAUCCACAUGAUCAGAUAUAAUGCUAAAGCAAAUAGACAUGCAAAGCACAUAGUUUCACAUAGCAUGUAGCACAUAUGCAUGCUUACCUAAAUGCAAAAACCUAGGAAAGCAGUAACAUAUAGCACAUAGGCACGCAAAUCACACCAAGCAAAUAAAGCAAAGAAGCCCUAACUAUUACAUUUGGGGGGGGCCCUACUACAAUCUAAGGGGGAAUGAGUUAAAUAAAAUGAUAUAAUAACCUAACUAUUACAAUUGUGGCAUUUAAUUGCCUUCCCAAAUAAUUACAAAUUAAAUGAAAAUAGAUAUACAAAAUUAAAACAAAUAAAGUAACUAAAUGAAUAAAUAGAAUGAGAAUAUUCAGAAGGCAUGCAAUUUCACAUAUAAGUUCACAUAGGGUCAAGUAGAAAUCAAAACAAGGGGAAGCGUGUACCUCCCUUGAAUUGGUACCCCUAAUGAGAUGCAAUCACUUAUUUACCCUCCAAAAACAAAGAAAAGGUCAAGGAAUCACUUUAAUUAACAAAUAAUCAUAAACGAUGAAAAUAAACAUGAAACUGAAUCAAUUAAAUCAUAUAAAUGACCUACGUUUAAGAAAUUAAAACAAGUAGGGGCUAAAUUACAAAAUUAACAAAGUUAUGGGGAUCAAAUUAUAAUUAUCACAAAGAUAUAAGGUCAAAAUUAAAGAAAAACAAAGUUUAGGAACCUAUUUGUAAAUAAAUUAGGGACCCAAUUGAAAGAAGUUGAAAGUUUCUAGGGCCACAAUAUAGUUAAGGAGAAAUCCAGGGGCUGAUUUGCAAAUUCAGUUACCAGAUUCUUAAGAAACAGGCCAUUGGGCCAUUUUAUUUAUCUCCCUGGGCCGAGAUUAUCUUCAGCCCAUCAAAGAAUCUCAAGAAAACGUAUGGGCUGGUCCAUCAAUUAGUCCAACCAAAACAGCUAGGGUUUGUCUCCCAAGCCCUGACCGAAAGCCUUAAAAAAAAUCAGACUAGCCCAUCUUUAAUUACCCCAGCCCAACCGAGCCAAAUCAUAAAUCCAAAAGAAAUAUACCAAAAUCCAUUAUCAAACCCAACCAAACAAAAAAUCCAAUUUCCCUAAGCCCAACAUGAUAAAAUCAACAAAAAUUAUUAAGCCACAAUUAUGAUCUAAAAAAACAAGAAUUAAUCUAGCUAGAAAAGACUACUUAUGCAUAUUAAAAGAUUAAAAUCUAAAAGGGAGAAACAAGUUCACUUUUCCAAUUUUUCGGGUCAUAUCAGAAUAAAGGGGAAACUUGAGAGGUUCAAUCACAACAAAAUAGAGACCUAAUUGGAGGAAUCAUGAAGGUUUUGGGGUCGAAAUUAAAGAAAAGUAAAGUCCAGGGGUCAAUUUAUGCUUAAAUCAUGACUUAAUUGACCAAGAUCUGGAAGUUACGCAGGCUUUAAUGUGAUUUCACCAAAGGUCAAGGGUCAAUUUGCGAAUUCAUAAACAUUUUCCAACCCAGUUCGUCUUCUUUGCAAUACACAGGCUAUUUUCUUCUGAAAACGCGACCAGAUGUUAUUCAUAAGCAAAAUGUAGGCCAGCCAUCUUCUCCAAAUGAAAUUCAACAUCUGACCGCCAUCGCAGCUUUCUCACAAAGGAAAAAAAUAUCCGAAAAAACUCAACUUCAAACCCACACGAAUUCAUGUCAUUAAAUCGUGUUCAUGAAAAGGGAAAUUAAGAAAACGAAACUCUUCAAACUCCACUUUUUCACGAAAUUCAAUCAUUCAAACAGGCAUGGAACUUACUGACCAUUUGUUUCCUCACCAGCAAACGUAGAGAGACUACCUUCCAAUUAGAAUUUUCAAACAAGCAUUUCAUCGAACAGCAAAGGAGCAUUAAAAUUUCACCAAAUUUUUGUUCAAUUAAGGUUAUAAUCUGCCCCAAAAUUGUCAGCGACACAAGAGGUUUCAAUCCAAUCCACAUAUAAACAUGUAAAUUCAAAAAAAAUAUGGACAAUCAACAGGGAAAUCGCACAACAAAGUCACGGCAGACCCGUUUGGAAAACUUUCCAAAACUUGUGCUUGAGGAAAAACUGAAAUUCAAAGGAAAAGGGUCAACUUACAGUGCUCUUACUUGAGCGGUGGAGACGGCGAUUAUGACGAAGACGAAGACGGUGAAUUGGAAUUGGAAGAUGACGAAGCCUGACUUCGUCUGAGAGCUUUCAUCUAGAUUUGUAGAGAGCGGCAGCGGCCAGGG
rnacentral:lncRNA from 1 species